UAAAAAAGUCAACACACAACUAAACUGCGUAAAAGUUCAUCAGCUGCGGUGCUGCAAUAAAGUUGAAUCUUGCUGCGCUAGAAGAUCUUUGUUGCAUUUUAAUUUGAUACAAAUUUGAUUGGGUUAUCUACUGUCAGGAUGUGUUUCAAAGUCACCUGUGAAAAGUGCCAAAAGACAACGUGGAAAGGGUGUGGCAAACAUGUAGAGCAGGUGAUGAAGGAUGUUCCAGAUGAGCAGAAAUGUCAGUGUCCUCGACCUUGAGUCAGAUACAUGAAGAACAUGUUAGCAGUCACAUAAUAUGGAAGAAAAAUACAAAUGCAGACAUCUGUCAUGAUGUGACUCUCCUUGCAAACCUGAGUGAAUGCAAGUCAAGUUCAACAUUGGUUUCUAAUUACAAUGGAUUUGUUCAAUUAAUGUUUGAAAUAAUAGAUAAUGUACAUUAUAAGAAACAACAAAUUAAUCGUUGAAAUUUGAAAAGAAAGAAUGAGAAGGGAAUGUUGUAAAAGCAACAGAAAUAGUCAAGUUUAGGUUUUGGGGUUUGUUUUAGAAAUAGAUAAUUUACUCAUAAACAAGUUUAGGUUUUGGGGUUUGUUUUAGAAUUAGAUAAUUUACUCAUAAACAAUUAAAACGUUUAUGAUUGAAUGCUAUUUAAAGGUUUUACAAUAAAGAAGUAUCGUAGGAAGUAUAAAGCUGAAAUACAACAUUGUACUAUUUUUUCAAAUGUCCUUUUACAAAAAAGGGUGAAGUUAUUAGAUGUGUCAAAAAAGCACAGAACAAACUAAGCCAAAAACACACCCAAAACCACAACCAUAAAAAUAACCCAAAGAGUUUUAUAAAGAGUUUAAAUAUUACAUCAACAUUUAAUGCUAAUAGAACAGUACUAGAAUUGGCCAGUAGAAAAAUACUGGUAAGGUUAAAGAAAUGUACUCAAAGUUGAAAUGUACCGCACAAUGUGUUUGUGAAUUUGUAAAGUUGAUCGCACAAACAAACCUAGAUUGUCCUACCUCAUUUUGUAACUGUAGAGUUUAUAACAAACAUAAUGUUCACUUAUAUUUCAAGUUUAUAGUACACACCCAACAAAUAGUGAUAGUGUAAUGCCAAAGAUGUUGAGCCAAAGAAAUAUAUUUUUAGGUUUGGUUGUGAGGUUUCCUGGAUUUUUUACCCUCAAGUUUUGGUUUGUGUUUGUGUCAAAGUUCAACCGUCCAAAAAAACCCCCAUAAUUUGACCGUCCAUGAAAACAAUUCCCUAUCGGCCUCAAUUUUGAAUAAAUCUAGAUGCUAAGCUUGUA